rnacentral:rRNA from 1 species
ACGGGUGAGUAACACGUGGGUAACCUGCCCUUGAGAGGGGGAUAACAGGUCGAAAGGCCUGCCUAAUACCGCAUAAUGAUAAGAAGCUGCAUGGCGUCUUAGCCCAAAGGUUAAUUCCGCUCAAGGAUGGGCCCGCGGCCCCAUUAGCUAGUUGGUGAGGUAAUGGCUCACCAAGACGACGAUGGGUAGCCGGCCUGAGAGGGUGGUCGGCCACACUGGGACUGAGACACGGCCCAGAACUCCCUACGGGAGGCAGCAGUGGGGAAUAUUUGCGCAAUGGGGGAAAACCCUGACGCAGCGACGCCGCGUGAGCGAUGAAGGCCCUUUCGGGUUUGUAAAAGCUCUGUCUUCCCCUGACGAUAAUGACGGUAAGGGAGGAGGGAAAGCCCACGGCUAACUACGUGCCAGCAGCCGCGGUAAUACGUAGGUGGCGAGCGUUGUCCGGAAUUACUGGGCGUAAAGGGUGCGUAGGCGGCUCUUUAAGUGGGAUGUGAAAUCCCUGGGCUCAACCCAGGAACUGCAUUCCAAACUGGAGAGCUAGAGUGCAGGAGAGGAAAGCGGAAACUCCCAGUGUAGCGGUGAAAUGCGUAGAGAUUGGGAGGAUCACCUGUGGCGAAGGCGGCUUCUGGACUUUAACUGACGCUGAGGCACGAAAGCGUGGGGAGCAAACAGGAUUAGAUACCCUGGUAGUCCACGCUGUAAACGAUGGGUACUAGGUGUAGGGGGCGAAGCCCUCUGUGCCGCAGCUAACGCAUUAAGUACCCCGCCUGGGGAGUACGGUCGCAAGAUU